rnacentral:rRNA from 1 species
GACGAACGCUGGCGGCGUGCUUAAUACAUGCAAGUCGAACGGUCAAGCGCCUUCCUUUUUGGUGGGUGGGGAUGAGCGGCGAACGGAUGAGUACCUCGUUAGUAACCUUCUCCCUCCUUCUUGAUAACCGCAUGCAGGUGUUGCUAAUACGUGAUAUUCUGGGUCUGUCGCAUGAUUAGUCUGGGACAGAUAUUGUUUCGGUUGUGGAUGGGCUCGCGGCGUAUCAGCUUGUUGGUGGGGUGAUGGCCUACCAAGGCGGUGAGGGGUAGCCGGCCUGAGAGGGUGGACGGUAACAGUGGGAAUACGACGCGGACAAGACUCCUAGAGGAAGCAGCAGUGAGGAAUAUUGCACAGUGGGAGGAAGGCUGGUGCAGCGACGCCGCGGGGAGGAUGGUGGCCGUCGGGUCGUGAACCUCUUUCGGGAGUGAAGCAGGCCGGCCUCGUUUGUGGGUGGGUUGACGGUAGCUGGACAAGAAGCGCCGGCUAACUACGUG